ensembl:lncRNA
CGCAACCAAAAAUACUGGAACAAAAGAAACAACUUCCUUGAAGCUUUGCUGAAACUGCACUUAGACGGUGAAUAGAAGGUUGUUGUCAACUUGCCUGGAUGAAAAUGUCGAUGUGAGGGUGUCACCAGUGGCCGGCUGGCAACGAGAGAGAUGCAGUCGAGCCCUCUGAAACGCGCCCAGGCUUAUCCAUUUGUUUGAAAAAAUAUUGCUGGAGCUUCCAGGGAAUCCCAGUGACUGCUUUACAUGUAAGACUCUGUAAAACAGACCAGAAGAGGCUAACCCAGACCACUUGAUCUGGGGAGGUGAUGGGUUGUCAUGUCCAUGUCCCUUUUGCCCAGCUGGGUGUAGGAGGUUACUUGACCUUUCAACCUUGGGGUCAGGUGACUCUUUAAGGUCAUUGUAUGGGUAGCAAGUGUCUGUAGGAAUGGGUUAAAAAGGCUGAGCAGAGAAGAUGACAUGUCCGGGCAUGCUUCCU